rnacentral:rRNA from 1 species
UCCAGACUCCUACGGGAGGCAGCAGUGGGGGAUAUUGCACAAUGGGGGAAACCCUGAUGCAGCGACGCCGCGUGAGUGAAGAAGUAUUUCGGUAUGUAAAGCUCUAUCAGCAGGGAAGAAAAAAGACGGUACCUGACUAAGAAGCCCCGGCUAACUACGUGCCAGCAGCCGCGGUAAUACGUAGGGGGCAAGCGUUAUCCGGAUUUACUGGGUGUAAAGGGAGCGUAGACGGCAAUACAAGUCGGAAGUGAAAUACCCGGGCUUAACCUGGGAACUGCUUUGGAAACUGUAUGGCUGGAGUGCUGGAGAGGUAAGCGGAAUUCCUAGUGUAGCGGUGAAAUGCGUAGAUAUUAGGAGGAACACCAGUGGCGAAGGCGGCUUACUGGACAGUAACUGACGUUGAGGCUCGAAAGCGUGGGUAGCAAACAGGAUUAGAUACCCCAGUAUG